CCUACGGGAGGCUGCAGUGGGGAAUAUUGGACAAUGGGCGAAAGCCUGAUCCAGCCAUGCCGCGUGUGUGAAGAAGGCCUUCGGGUUGUAAAGCACUUUCAGUGGGGAAGAAAGCCUUGGGGCUAAUACCCUCGAGGAAGGACAUCACCCACAGAAGAAGCACUGGCUAACUCCGUGCCAGCAGCCGCGGUAAUACGGAGGGUGCGAGCGUUAAUCGGAAUUACUGGGCGUAAAGCGCGCGUAGGCGGUCUGAUAAGCCGGUUGUGAAAGCCCCGGGCUCAACCUGGGAACGGCAUCCGGAACUGUCAGGCUAGAGUGCAGGAGAGGAAGGUAGAAUUCCCGGUGUAGCGGUGAAAUGCGUAGAGAUCGGGAGGAAUACCAGUGGCGAAGGCGGCCUUCUGGACUGACACUGACGCUGAGGUGCGAAAGCGUGGGUAGCAAACAGGAUUAGAUACCCGUGUAGUC
rnacentral:rRNA from 1 species